UUGCGAUGUAGCAUGCCCGUUUGGUGCUUAACUCUGAUGUAUAUUUGUUAUUUUAAUUACUUUUGGGUAACGGGGUGUUACAACUA
rnacentral:pre_miRNA from 1 species